rnacentral:rRNA from 1 species
UACGUAGGGUGCGAGCGUUGUCCGGAAUUACUGGGCGUAAAGAGCUCGUAGGUGGUUUGUCGCGUUGUUCGUGAAAACUCACAGCUUAACUGUGGGCGUGCGGGCGAUACGGGCAGACUGGAGUACUGCAGGGGAGACUGGAAUUCCUGGUGUAGCGGUGGAAUGCGCAGAUAUCAGGAGGAACACCGGUGGCGAAGGCGGGUCUCUGGGCAGUAACUGACGCUGAGGCGCGAAGCGUGGGAGCGAACAGG